GAUGAACGCUGGCGGCGUGCCUAAUACAUGCAAGUCGAGCGAACAGACGAGGAGCUUGCUCCUCUGACGUUAGCCGCGGACGGGUGAGUAACACGUGGAUAACCUACCUAUAAGACUGGGAAAACUUCGGGAAACCGGAGCUAAUACCGGAUAAUAUAUUGAACCGCAGGGUUCAAUAGUGAAAGACGGUUUUGCUGUCUCUUAUAGAUGCUUCUGCGCGGCAUUAGCUGGUUGGUAAGUUAACGGCUUACGAAGGCGACGAUGCGUAGCCGACGUGUGAGGGUGAUCGGCCACACUGGAACUGAGACACGGUCCAGGCUCCUACGAGAGGCAGCAGUAGGGAAUGUUCCGCAACAGGCGAAAGCAUGACGGAGCAGCGCCGCGUGUGUGAUGGAGGUCUUCGGAGCGUAAAACUCUGUUAUUAGUGAAGAACAAAUGUGUAAGUAACUGUGCACGUCUUGACGGUACCUAAUCAAAAAGCCACGGCUAACUACGUG
rnacentral:rRNA from 1 species